CGGAACCUCGAACGCACCUCUCGCUUACCCUCGUUUCAGUGCGUGUCUGUGAGGAUUGUUUGGACAGAAAGCAGUGACGCCAGGUAGAGGUGGUCGUUUGGAACGAAGAAGACGAAGCAGAAACUGGUUCGCUUGGUUUUGUUGCCGUGGGGGGUGAGGGACGACGCUGCUGCUCGUGAGCUGACUGGACAGCGACGAAGGGAGGUGGUUUGACGUCGUGGACUGGUUGAC
rnacentral:lncRNA from 1 species